rnacentral:rRNA from 1 species
UACGUAGGGUGCGAGCGUUAAUCGGAAUUACUGGGCGUAAAGCGUGCGCAGGCGGUUUUGUAAGCCAGAUGUGAAAGCCCCGGGCUUAACCUGGGAAUGGCAUUUGGGACUGCAAGGCUGGAGUGUGGCAGAGGGGACUGGAAUUCCUGGUGUAGCAGUGAAAUGCGUAGAUAUCAGGAGGAACACCGAUGGCGAAGGCAGGUCUCUGGGACGGUACUGACGCUGAGACGCGAAAGCGUGGGGAGCGAACAGG